UUCUUUGUUUAGAGUGUUCUGUAUUUUUAAAGUUUUCAAGAAAAAACAUAGCAACAAUGAAUAAAAACAGAGUUCUAUCUCUAUCUCUAAAAUCUUUUCAGACCGAACCACACGAUUAUAACAGUUUUACUCUACGCACACUUAUAGCUUAAAACUUUUUUAUGACAGGUUUAUUGGCUAAAAAUAUAGAAAACCAACCUAAAAUUUAACUAAAAAAUAAUUAUAGAGCACGAGUUAGAAGUCCGCUGUAGUCUUACUCUUAUGUUCCCGAGGAAGAGGAACAUAUUUUCUUUUCUUUUUUAUGUUUACUUGUUUUAUAAUGUUUCUAUAUUAUAAAUUACUUGGACCUAAUACAAUUUGGGAUUAAACUAACAUAUUACAAAAGUUUAAAAUAACAAAACAUGUUUAGGGAUUUUAUAUUUUUUGAUAAUUAUAAAAAAUGAGGUUAAAACUAAUAGAACUCCAAAGUUUCAAUGAUAAAAAUUAUAAUUAUUUUAGUUGUAUAAUUAAAUUUUAUCUUCAAUGUUUAGUAAUUAUAUUUGUGGGGUCAAAAUUAUUUUUUAGUGGGGUCAACAAAAAUUUUGCUUAAAACAAAACAAUAUUUUUUAAAAAAUAGUGGGGUCAACUGACCCCCCUCCUCAUAUGCUGCCUCCGCCCCUGUUCACGCCUCUUCCCUUGCUGAUUCCGCCAUCGCCUCCUCCUCCUCAAUUCCAGCCGCGACGUCAGAGAAAUGCAAGAGGUCGUCUGUCAUGUGUUGGAUCACUUGAGAGAGGAAGGUCCACAUACUACGAAGAGAAGGUUCGAGACCGUUAAAGUUUUGCGUCUUUUAGCGAAUUUGAUGAUAACAAGAAUUUGUUGCACGAGAUCACUAGACUUUCACCUAAGGCGAAGAUAAGCUCUUUAUUAGUUCUCUUGACAUAUUGCAUUACGAGAAACAACAAAAAAAUGUAUGGCCUAAAUCACCAGGCAUCUCCUUCUGCUAUAUGAACCUAAUUUACUUAGAAUUCUGCUGAUAAUUAGUAAGAAGUAUACUUGAUAGAGUAAUAUCAAUAUUCAAUGUUUUGUAUGUUUGUGUUUUGUCUAGGAUUAGUCUCUUCAGUUUGUUCAAAGUGCUUCUCUUCAGAUUGAUCAUAUAAUUUGGAAGCUUAAUUAAAUCUAUUAUAUUGGCUCUGUGUUUGAUUAUCUUUUCUCUAGGCACUUCUCUCCCGAGAUGUUCAGUCCAACAUUGCUCCAGCAAGUAGUGAACGUUACGGCAUAACAAGUCAACAAUACGAGGUACUGAAGCUGCAACGUGCUCUCAAGCAAGACCCCAUGGUGCAGCCUUCAUAGCACUGGGGUUGAUGUCUUAUAUGCCAUGCCAUGGAUCUCACCUUUCUUAAGAGCUGCGUUGCUUUUCCUAACUUUCUUCCUUAUCUGCGAUCUAGCUCUUGCUCAGUUUCCUCCCUCUUCAAUCCAAGGGACAAGCAACUGGGUUGGUCGGUUUCAUUUGACUGAAUCUUGCAGCAAUGAACAUGGUUUCUCACACUCAAAUUACCAAAAGAAGAAGAAGGUUCUCUCUCAAAUAUACACUGCAUAGGACAGAAAUUGAUCGGGUCUUCUUUUGGAAAUCUGGAAUACAUGGAUGGGGCCUUUCUGCCAGCAGAAUUAUCUAUGAAUGUGGCCAUGUGGGUUUUGUCUGUUUUUUUAUAGAGAGGGAAUGAUGAUAGACAAUAUUUUUUUUUUCAGAUUCUUAAAUACAGACUGGAAUAGGUGAGACGUACCAUUGCAGACCUGAGAGAAGGGAAAAUGCUAUAUGACUGUUCAAGAUCAGUGAGAAAGUAGUUGUUGAUGCUACAAAUAAAGGGAAUAUAGCUCGGCUUAUCAACCAUUAGUAAGCUGUUCUAUGACAUGAUGUAAAUUUUCAAAGUUAGGAGUGACUGCGCUAAGACCCUUUUAGGAGAUUUUGUUACACUGCAAUAACUCAGUGAGACGUUUUUACUUUUACUCCCUCACAAGGUAACACUCAGAAGGCAUCUUACUUUGUUCCAUGUAGUAUUUCUUUUCAUUAGAAUAUAUGCUUGGUUUCAUCACUCCUUCCAAGUAUAAGAUGCAGCGGUUUGUGACGUGCAAUAAUGGUAAACACACACAUGCGUUGUGUGCCGAAUAUUUAAUAAACUUUAGAGACCGGUUUUCUGUAAGCUGGAAUUGGUCAAAGCCAUGUAAACAAAAUUAUAAUGUUCAUCUAACGUUGUGUGCCGAAAAUUUAACUAUGUUUUAUA